CAGGGAGUAGUUUAAAUUAGAAUGUCGGCUUUGGGAGUUGAAGGUGAAGUUAUAACUUCUUCCCUGA
rnacentral:tRNA from 1 species